AAGUCGAGCGCGAAAGGCCUUCGGGCUGAGUAAAGCGGCGGACGGGUGAGUAACGCGUAGGAAUCUACCUGGUAGUGGGGGACAACUUGGGGAAACUCAAGCUAAUACCGCAUACGCCCUAAGGGGGAAAGCGGGGGACCUUCGGGCCUCGCGCUAUCGGAUGAGCCUGCGUAGGAUUAGCUAGUUGGUGGGGUAAAGGCCCACCAAGGCGACGAUCCUUAGCUGGUCUGAGAGGAUGAUCAGCCACACUGGAACUGAGACACGGUCCAGACUCCUACGGGAGGCAGCAGUGGGGAAUAUUGCGCAAUGGGCGAAAGCCUGACGCAGCCAUGCCGCGUGUGUGAAGAAGGCCUUAGGGUUGUAAAGCACUUUCAAUUGGGAAGAAAAGCUUGUCGUUAAUAGCGGCAAGCCCUGACAUUACCUUUAGAAGAAGCACCGGCUAACUCCGUGCCAGCAGCCGCGGUAAUACGGAGGGUGCGAGCGUUAAUCGGAAUUACUGGGCGUAAAGCGCGCGUAGGCGGUUUGUUAAGUCAGCUGUGAAAGCCCCGGGCUCAACCUGGGAACUGCAGUUGAUACUGGCCGACUAGAGUACGAGAGAGGGAGGUAGAAUUCCAUGUGUAGCGG
rnacentral:rRNA from 1 species